UGCCAGCCGCCGCGGUAAUACGGAGGGGGUUAGCGUUGUUCGGAAUUACUGGGCGUAAAGCGCGCGUAGGCGGAUUAGUAAGUUAGGGGUGAAAUCCCGGGGCUCAACCCCGGAACUGCCUCUAAUACUGCUAGUCUUGAGUUCGAGAGAGGUGAGUGGAAUUCCGAGUGUAGAGGUGAAAUGCGUAGAUAUAGGAAGGAACAUCAGUGGCGAAGGCGACUUGCUGGACUGAUACUGACGCUGAGGAGCGAAAGCGUGGGGAGCGAACGGGAUUAGAUA
rnacentral:rRNA from 1 species